rfam:Ovis aries breed Texel chromosome 5, whole genome shotgun sequence.
UCCCUGGCAGUCCAGUGGUUAGGACUCAAUGCUUCCAUUGCAGGGGGCACAGGUUCAAUCCCUGGUCAGGGAA